UACGGAGGAUGCAAGCGUUAUCCGGAAUGAUUGGGCGUAAAGGGUCCGCAGGUGGCAAUGUGUGUCUGCUGUCAAAGAAUGAGGCUUAACCUCAUCAAGGCAGUGGAAACUACAUAGCUAGAGUACGGUCGGGGUAGAAGGAAUUCCUGGUGUAGCGGUGAAAUGCGUAGAGAUCAGGAAGAACACCGGUGGCGAAAGCGUUCUGCUAGACCUUAACUGACACUGAGGGACGAAAGCUAGGGGAGCGAAUGGG
rnacentral:rRNA from 1 species